rnacentral:lncRNA from 1 species
AUUGCGAUAAGACGUGUCACGGUACUUGUCUAUCCCAUAUUCAUGUAUUUGGUUUUGAUGUUAUAUUUGUUAUUCUCGUGGGAUUUUGUCUGAUGCUUGGUCUGUUUCUGUGUGUGUUACAUUGUAGUGUUGUGUCGUUGUUCACCUCUUAUGUUUGGUGCGUUUCCCUCAGUUCUAGUUUGUUACCCCGAUUUUGUUUUUUGUCCAUGGAUUUAUGAGUUUGAACAGCGGUAUACUACUGUUGCCUUUAUUUAU